rnacentral:rRNA from 1 species
GAUGAACGCUGGCGGCGUGCCUAACACAUGCAAGUCGAGCGAACAGACCAGGAGCUUGCUCUUCUGACGUUAGCGGCGGACGGGUGAGUAACACGUGGAUAACCUACCUAUAAGACUGGGAUAACUUCGGCAAACCGGAGCUAAUACCGGAUAAUAUAUUGAACCGCAUGGUUCAAUAGUGAAAGACGGUUUUGCUGUCACUUAUAGAUGGAUCCGCGCCGCAUUAGCUAGUUGGUAAGUUAACGGCUUACCAAGGCAACGAUGCGUAGCCGACGUGAGAGGGUGGUCGGCCACACUAGAACUGAGACACGGUCCAGACUCCUACGGGAGGCAGCAGUAGGGAAUCUUCCGCAAUGGGCGAAAGCCUGACGGAGCAACGCCGCGUGGGGGAUGAAGGUCUUGGGAUCGUAAAACUCUGUUAUUAGGGAAGAACGAAUGUGUAAGUAACUAUGCACGUCUUGACGGUACCUAAUCAGAAGGCCACGGCUAACUACGUG